AUUGAACGCUGGCGGCAUGCCUUACACAUGCAAGUCGAACGGCAGCACGGGGGCAACCCUGGUGGCGAGUGGCGAACGGGUGAGUAACAUAUCGGAACGUGCCCUGGAGUGGGGGAUAACUAGUCGAAAGACUAGCUAAUACCGCAUACGAUCUACGGAUGAAAGUGGGGGAUCGCAAGACCUCAUGCUCGUGGAGCGGCCGAUAUCUGAUUAGCUAGUUGGUGGGGUAAAGGCCUACCAAGGCAUCGAUCAGUAGCUGGUCUGAGAGGACGACCAGCCACACUGGGACUGAGACACGGCCCAGACUCCUACGGGAGGCAGCAGUGGGGAAUUUUGGACAAUGGGCGCAAGCCUGAUCCAGCAAUGCCGCGUGAGUGAAGAAGGCC
rnacentral:rRNA from 1 species